CACCGCCCCAGCACCGCACCCCCUGCCCGCCUCCCCGGGUGGAAGGCAGCGGGGGCUCCCCGCCCCGCCGCUGCGCAGCCCAGCGGGGUUCACGGGUCGUUAGAAACGACAGUGGGUUACACGAAAUCAAGAAAAUAUGAAAUAGUUAUGAAAUAAAAGGUCGUGGGGGGGUGCAAAGCUGGCACGCCGGCUGGAAAAGGGCACGCAACAAACCCGAAAGGCUGUCCUGGGAGCUUGCCAGGGCACCAGGUACCACCACACUACCCAGAUACGGUGCAGUUUCAGUGGUGGGUCCAAUAGUGAUACCCUUUUGGUGCUUUAUUGAUAGCUUAAGUGCCUAAUCAAAGGAUAGAGUGCCAUCUACUGAACCAGAUUUUUUUAUUCGGUUAUGACUUGGGACCCAGCCUGUAAAUGGAAAAAGAACAGAACUGGACUACUAAAUACAGCAUUUCAAGAUGAUGGGAGCCACUGGAUAAUCAAAGGAGGUGCUGGGAAAUUUAGCCAUUCUCAAAAACAGAUGCUAACAUCACUAGAUUCUCUGUGACCCCAGACUGGACUUGUGAUCGUCAUACAAGUCUUUUCCAUGUUUGACUUCAGAAGUAGGUAAAAAAGGAAAUCAGAACUGCACCCGAGAAUAAUAAACUUAAAUAAAAGACUUAAGACCUAAAGAAAAUAAUGUCCUUAAAAUCAUAUCCUGCGAGAGUCUGGAGUAUUUCAAUUACACGAGAGGCACACUGGUGCUGGAGGUACGGCUUCAGCAACUACAAUUCACACUGAAGUACCACAUCGUACAUUUCACCACGCUUGACAAAGCAUACAUCACUAUCAGAAGAUAAACCAGCAUGGCUGGGGAAGACUGUCAUGUCUCUCCUACCAAAGGUGGUGUUCUCUACAGCCAGAACUUCAUUAAAGGCCUUGGGAGUUUCCUCUUCAUUCUAA